rnacentral:rRNA from 1 species
UACGGAGGGUGCAAGCGUUAUCCGGAUUCACUGGGUUUAAAGGGUGCGUAGGUGGGCUUGUAAGUCAGUGGUGAAAUCUCCGUGCUUAACAUGGAAACUGCCAUUGAUACUAUGGGUCUUGAAUUAUCUGGAGGUUAGCGGAAUAUGUCAUGUAGCGGUGAAAAUGCUUAGAUAUGACAUAGAACACCAAUUGCGAAGGCAGCUGGCUACAGGUACAUUGACACUGAGGCACGAAAGCGUGGGGAUCAAACAGG